UGCGUAUGCUAUAGGAGCAGGCAGGAUGGCCUGGGGGAAGAGGUGGGGUGUUUGCAUGGUGAUGUGGUGAACCUCAGCAUAAGCAGUAUGUAGAGGAUGUGGGGCUAUAGCUGCCUGGCGGGCACCAAAGGAGGUUAAAGCGGGCAGCACAGCUUCACAAACAGCCUGACCCAUGGAUGCCAACCGGAGGAACUGCCCCCAACUCUCCUGCAGCCCUCCAGCUGUCCUCGGGGGCCACCCCAGCUGCAGCUGCUCCGUUUGCUGGUGCCACCUCUUCAUGGUCAUCUCCUAGCUGGAGCACUGCCCACGGAGCCGAGACCACCUCCCUUUGGCUGCGGGGGCUGCAGGCACUGCCUGGUGCUGACCAGCCGGGGCUGCGAGGAGCUGGUUCAAGCCCGGUCCCGCAAGGACGUCCAGGGAGGCCGAGACUCCUUUCAUUGGGAAAAUACGAACGGAAAUGAGAUAAACCCUUAAACAGAGCUAAGCAAGAGAUGAAGCAUAUAGUCACAGAGCUGACAGCAGCUUUGACUUGCAGGGAUCUUCACUCCAGUCAUUUCCAAUAGUUGAAAUUGAGUGUAAUUUAGUUUUUAGGCAUGUAAAAAUUAACUGUCUCAGAAAAUAAACAUGCCAUGUACUUAAUAAAGCAAACUCUGAAGGGAAAUGAUGCUACAAUAAAGCUGCCUUAACAGCAA